ensembl:snRNA U6 U6 spliceosomal RNA
AUGCUCACUUCGGCAGCAUGCAUACUAAAAUUGUAAUGAUACAGAGAAGAUUAUCGGGGACCCUGUGCAAGGAUGACAUGCAAAUUUGGGAAGUGUUCCAUGUUUUU